AGUCUCUUCUUAUUUUUGGUGUCCGUCCUUUAGUUGUGGUUUCAAUGGAGCAAUUCGACUAUGACUUUUUGAGACCUGAGAACAAUCGACUGGAAAAUGCCUGGGUGCUUUUCAAGACUGGCGGAGAGAGUGCGUGGACGUCGGCGGCCUACUGCGUCGACAGGUUGUUCAAAUUCAUUUGUGGCUUGUUUUUCUUGUCUUUUUCUGUUUUGCAGGGUUCGUGAUCGUCGACAGGUGGACAGCGACUUCGAAGAGGAAACAACUGUCCUGGAUGAGGUCCAGUUGGAUGUGCCAUUGGAUGAUGUGCUAGAUGUUCCACAGCUGCCAGUCCUCCUUGAUGUCCAGAAUGCUGCUAUCAUCCUUGAGGAUGUGCCAGAUGUGCAGACUAUCCUUGAGGUACAAUUUUCUGAAAGUUUGGGGUUUUAUGUUUGAAAAAUAUCCCAGAUAUUCAAGUUGUGUCUCUUUAACAUGAAACACAUCUCUUGUCUGCUUUCUGCUUUAGGAGGCCACUGGCAUUUGGCAGUUGAUUCCGAUUAGGUUCAGCC
ensembl:lncRNA